CGGGGACGGACAAGGGUGGCCCAUCCCAUCUCCGGAGGGUGUGCGUGCUGUGGGAGGGGGCGAUGAGGAGCCAUCCUGCCUCAAGCCUGAGCAAAGAGAUAAGUUUUAGACUUUGUCCAAGCCAAGGACUUUCAACGUCUUAACCUCCUGCCUUAAAAACCACGUCGUUGGUUCCAUUUUUCCUCCACUAGUUCCAAAAUGAUAUGCAGCUGGGAAUAUGGCUAUCCGAUUCCUGCUUUAACUAAUGGUUUUGGGUGGCAAUUGUACCUUGAUAUGCAAUUCAUAUUUCCCAUGAUGAUGCAAGAGCAUUGUGUGAUUCUACAUCCUUAACGCCUGUUGUUGUCAGGG
rnacentral:lncRNA from 1 species